UACAGAGGUCUCAAGCGUUUGUUCGGAUUCAUUGGGCGUAAAGGGUGCGUAGGUGGCGCCGUAAGUCGGGUGUGAAAUUUCGGAGCUUAACUCCGAAACUGCAUUCGAUACUGCGGUGCUUGAGGACUGGAGAGGAGACUGGAAUUCAUGGUGUAGCAGUGAAAUGCGUAGAUAUCUGGAGGAACACCGGUGGCGAAGGCGGCAUCCUGGACCAAUUCUGACGCUGAGGAGCGAAAGCCAGGGGAGCAAACGGG
rnacentral:rRNA from 1 species